AAGCAGGAUGCUCUAGGUGGGACAGGGCUCUGAGGGCUGCAGUGGCCAUGGUCCAUGAAAUAACAACCAUGUUGCAAUGGCAUCAACAGCCUGAGCACCCCAGGGAAGGGAUAGACCCGUAAGCUUGCCAAGGAAGAGUUAACAAAGUGCAGCUGGGGGAGCUCCCCAGGUGUGUGCCCUCAGCAGUGAGCCCAGCUGGGAAGAGUCCCCUCGUCCUGCAGGGAGACCCCCUGCCAGCAUCCUAUAAAGGCCAAGCCUUCCCCUUAGCUCUGUUUGGGAACUCUUGCUGGGUUUCCUGGUGAGAUCAUGCAUGAGAAAUGAUAUUGAAAGAAGAAAUGGAGACUUGCUUGAGGUUUGCUCAAGAGCAGGUUGUGGCAGCAUGCCUCCUUCAACCAAAAGCAGAGCAUGUACAAUAGCAUUAUGGCCUAACUGCAAUCAGUCUGCUGCGAACAGCUUGUAUAUAUUUGGAUGUUCACUGGUCCAUGAGAGCAAAUCGUCCUCCCUUACCAUCAAAGACCUUCUUUUCCAGUUCCUUUAUUAGUGAGCUGCUUUGCUUAUGGGGAUGCCCAGCAGGCACAGACCCUGCAGAGCAUGUGGUGGUGUUUCUGGUGUCGGACACGGGGUGGGAGUACGGCAGGAUUUGUCCCAGCACAGAAACCACAUCAGCGAGGAUUUGCUGGCACCAGGAGGUGCCUUCACCACUACCUGGAGUUAUUCUGGGAGAAGAACUCCUUGUUUUGGUCCUUGCCUCAUGAGAAGGAACCUGCUGGGAAUCAGAGCAGCUCCCUGAGGCUCGGUGGAAGCUCUGGGCUUGCUCCGAGGAAACUUGAUGGUUUCUCCUGGCCUGGCACAGGCCAACAUGGACUUCCAUGGUGUGUGGCUGUGGGCUUGCUCCCAGUGGGAGCUGGGGCUGUCCAGGCUGAUUUCUCCCAGGCCUGAGAGCUUGGGUCAGCACUGAAUGGCUUCCUGCAGGUGGCAUGGAGGGCAGGAGGCAGCUGGCUGCAGGGCUGCUGCCAGCUCCUUUAAUUAGGCAAUGCAAACGGGCUGCAAGGGAGAAGGUGCCAGGGAAUGUAAAAGCAGCUCAUGAAAGGGAGUGCAGACAAGGAAGGGAGAAAUUAUUCAGAUAGCCCUAAAGUUUACUUUUAAGAUGUCUUUUAUUUUUUUCAUUUUCAUAUAUUUUCCUUGAUCUUUUGAGAGAAAAAGAUUGGUCCAUAGACAGAUCUCCAAAGAGAUUAUUUUUUUCAGCCUCGCUAUUGCUUUAAUCCGUGGUCUCUUCAGACAGGGAAUAUUUAAUUGGUGCACUGGUGAAAUAAAAUGUUUAAAUAGCUUGUACAGCAAUCUUUUUCCCUCUGUUGUGGCAUUAGUUCCCCAAUAUUCCUUGGCCGCUUGCUGGGUAUUGAGGCAAAGAAAGGAACCAGAGGAGGUCCCUCUCUAUAAAUCUGUCUGUGAUGUGAAAACUCCCUGGAUACACUUAUCAUACAUGAUCCAAUACAUCAAUUAACCCGAGACCUUGCUGCAAUAAUCACACACAAAUAAAUCACUCUCUGUGAUGCAUCUUUUUUUGACUCAAGCAGGUUUCUGUGCAGUGGGGAUGCACUGCGGGACACAGGAGAGGUGAGCCUCAGCUUUGUGCUCAGCACUGGGCCCGAGCAUCUCCCUGGAUGCUUAAAAUUAGGUGUUCCUUGGGCAGCCCUGCCUAAAACGCAUGUGCACACAAGCACUGAGAGAGGUAGAGGGAGCUUCUGGAGAAGCAGAUUAGAUGGAAAGAUAUCCUGCAAAAUAAUGAGGUAAAUUAAAAGGCUGGUGCACUUGAAGUCUAU